rnacentral:miRNA from 1 species
UCAGGGUUGGUAGGGGUUGCU